rnacentral:lncRNA from 1 species
CAUUUGCGCAGGGAGAAUUUUCCAUCCUUGGCUAGAUGGUGCCAUCCAUGUUCAUCCAUUGCCAGUACUCUCUCUUGUCACAAAAAUAAAAGAAGAAAUUAACACUUUAUUUAUUUAUUUAUUUUGAGACGGAGUCUUGCUCUGGUCCCCCAGGCUGGAGUGCAGUGGCGUGAUCUCGGCUCACUGCAAGCUCCGCCUCCCGGGUUCACGCCAUUCUCCUGCCUCAGCCUCUUGAGUAGCUGGAACUACCGGUGCCCGCCACCACGCCCGGCUAAUUUUUUCGUAUUUUUAGUAGAGACGGGGUUUCGCCUCCCAAAGUACUGUGAUUGCAAGCUUGAGGCACCGCACCUAGCCAUCCAUUUUAAUUUCUUAGUUGUGACAAAUAUACCAAGGUUAUGAAAGACGUGAACGCUAGAGAAAGCUGGAUGAGGUAUAUACAGGAAAUUUCUGUACCAUCAUUGCAACUUUUCUGUGAAUCUAGAAUCAUUCCACAGUGAAAAGUUAAUUUAAAAAUCAAUGUUUUUAAAAAGAAAAUUUAGAGGGGCCAUGUAUACUUUUUUGGUCUGCCCAUACAGCGCAAUCCUUAUAUGCCUGGGAUGUUGAAUCCCAUCUCUGCAACUCACUCACUGCAUGAUGUCUGUGCUUCCGAUUCCUCAUGGGUAAAGUAGGAAUAAGAAUAGUCAUUGAAUCAGUACACCUGCAACAAUGCUUAGCAUAUGGUAAGAGUGCAAUCCAUGUGAACUUUUCUUAUUAACAUUUUAUUGAAUUCAGUGUACAAUUGGCGAGUCAUAUCAGAGUGCAUUGUCUCUUAAUUUUAAACAGUUCCCAUGUAGGAAACCAAAUGAAUCAAGCUCCUGGCAUUUUCAGAUCUACCUUUCUUGGUUCCAAAAUAUGUUCCAGAGAUAUGUAGGCAAAAUCACCAUGUCCUCCUCUCCUCUCACUUCUCAAAGUUUAGGGCAAAAGUCCAUUACUAAUAAGAAUUCUAAACAAGAAAGAGGAUCAUGACAGUUAAGGAUUCAAAUAGAAAUGGAUGGCUUUGUGUGGCUUUUUCCUCUUCUGCUCUCUUGUCUCAGCUCAGUGUGGAUGUUAAAUGGAAGUAGAGCAGGGAUUUUCAAGUGGGGGAGAUUUUGUUCCCCAGGGGAUGCUUGGCAAUGUCUGGUGACAUUUUUAGUUUUCCCAACUGGGGACAGGGUAUCACUGGCAACUGGCAAGUAGAGGCCAGGGAUACUGCUGAACAUCCUACACUGCACAGGACAGCCCCCACCACAGAGAAGUAUCUGGCCCCAAAUGUAACAGGACCAUUAUUGAGAAUCCCUGAAGAAGAGUCAACAACUACCGUAUUAACCCAAUAAUACUUUU